rnacentral:lncRNA from 2 species
CCUCUGCCGCCCCUAGGGCCGCCACCGUCUUCGGGAUCCUCCUCCACCUCCUGGACUCCCAGCUCGUCGCCGCCCCAAGGGCCGUCGUCGGAGACCUCUGCAGCUGCCGUCGAGGAAAAUCUCUUCCACCUGGACUCCCAGGCAUCUGCCGCCCCUAGGGCAACCACCGCCAACGGGAUCCGCCUCCUCACUGCGAACCUUGCACCGGCACUCAGGCCGCCACCGUCUCGGGCAGCCGUCGCCGCCGGAGAAGUCUUCCGCCCGGACUCCCAGGCGCUUUUGCUAGACAUCGCUGCGAACGAUACCACCUCCACCCAAUCCCGUCGUCUCCUUGCCAAGGAUACGGCGGCGACGCUUAGGCCACCGCCGUUGACUCUAGAACACCUCAGCUGUCGCCCUUAA